AGAUAAUCAACAAUAAUUCUCAAGACAAAUACUCAGAAUCCAAACCCAGCAAACUAAUUAUGCAGAAACAAGUUUCUAGAGUUUUAGGAAACAAAGAAAAGAAGAGUACUUGAGAUUACUUGAAAAAAAAUAAUUAGAAACGAAUUAAUUGUGACUAAUCAGUAACAAACGUAAAACAAACAACAACUCAAUUAGAUUUCAGUCACUCAGAAUCAGUAAAAUUAAUAAAAUAAACAAAUAUAAACCGAAGCAAACAUACUCAUAAUCAUAAAUAUUAUUGGGUUAUUCCAGAGUCCGUUCCGUAAUCAUAUAAAACUGCUCCUCCAGAAUGGCUAGUGAUACAAAGGUACAACUUCAAGUGCAGAGAGUAGAUUUAACGAGGUACGACUCGCCACCAAAGAUCUUAUCAAAAUAGUUCUUGCCAUCCAAAUCUAACGAUUCUGGAGUUCUUCGAUCGAGAAAAGCGUGGCUGUUAGUGUUACUAGCCUGUUGACAAAAUUAUUUUGACAAAACCCUAGAAACAGAAACACCGAUGUUCCAUGAGGGAACAAAGCGAAGAGUAAGCGAAAAUUAAGAGAGGAUUUUGUUGGUAGAUUCUGAGUAUUGAAAAUUUUGUUGAGAAGGGUCAGAUGAAGGAGCUCACGGUAAAGAAUUAGAAUGAGAG